rnacentral:lncRNA from 1 species
AGAAGAGGAAACUGAGGCUUUAGAGAACUGUAGCACAUUGGCAAGGACACCCAGCUCAUAAACAAUCCAUCAGAAAAGUGAGGUCACUGAGAAACCCACCACCCAAAACCUGGACAGAUAGAGAAAUACAGAAGCAUGGCUUACAGAGAGCAGAAGCAGCUGCUGGAGCCACCAUCUGGUAGAAACACUUCAGGGAAGAGAAAACAGUGACCUGGAGACAGUUAUUUCACCAACAAAGGCAGCCAGCACUUCUCAAUUCCAUCAUACAGAGAACAUUUUGUUGAGAUGACACCAACUUCCAGUUCUUCACAAAGAUACAGCCCCCAGCCUUCAGCAUGAGAACAGGGACAUCAGCCUGCUUUGCCCAUGGAGCUGUCUCCAGAGCCUACAACAAUGCUCAGCCUGUGAGAGUUGUCACAUCUGGGAGGAUCAUGGGAGAGCUGCUUCUGAUAUCUGGAGAGCAGAGGCUGGGAGUGCCACUCAACAUUCCA